AUUCCAGCUCCAAUAGCGUAUAUUAAAGUUGUUGCAGUUAAAAAGCUCGUAGUUGGGUUUCUGGCAGGAGUGACUGACCACAAACUCUGUUUGUGAGUUGUGUCAUUCUGGCCAUCCUUGGUAAGAUCCUUUUUGGCAUUAAGUUGUCGGGAAGGGGAUGACCAUCGUUUACUGUGAAAAAAUUAGAGUGUUUAAAGCAGGCUUAUGCCGUUGAAUAUAUUAGCAUGGAAUAAUAAGAUAGGACUUUGAGUCUAUUUUGUUGGUUUGCGAGUCAAAGUAAUGAUUAAUAGGGACAGUUGGGGGUAUUCGUAUUUCAUUGUCAGAGGUGAAAUUCUUGGAUUUCUGAAAGACGAACUACUGCGAAAGCAUUUACCAAGGAUGUUUUCAUUA
rnacentral:rRNA from 1 species